AAGGAAAGUUUGCAGAAUCAUCGUGUGGAGGGCUCAUAUUUCAACACGGAACACCACACAUUCAAGUCAGUCUCGCCACCUUAAUCUUGCAUAACUCUGAGUUUGAGAUCCAAGUUUAAAGACAAAUGGCGCACUUAAAGUUUAUGUGCGUACUGGUACUUCAUUAUUUCAUCUUUUCGUCUUUGUUCGCGCGCGAAGAAGCUUACGUUAUGUAUAACAAAGUCGGUAAAAGAAUUUUCAAGCUGCAACGAAAACUUGAGGUGGGACCGAUAAUGAAAAGUCGCGUAAUGGACUCAGAAACUGCGCGUGCGCAGAUACAGAAGACAAAAGCUGAGGACAGUGGAACAUGGAAUUUUGGAUCGACCAGGCCACUAGAGAAUUGAGGAUCACUUCAUUUCACGUUUGCUAGUUUAACCUAUCGAAUAGAAUUACCGAAGCAAAUAAGUUUAAAAUUCGAUUGCUGUUAGUUAAAGAACCAUAAGUUAUGGAGGGAUUUUGAUAUCAUAAAAAUAGAUUGGACUGAUAAAGUAAUGAAUGAAACUUCCUGUAAGUUGUUAAAAAACCAUUGUGAUUACCAUGAAUACAUGAAAUAAUUUCGAACGUCUAUGGUGUUUGGGCAUCUAAUAUCAGUUUUUAUAAAAGGCAAUGAUGUAAUUUAGCUUUCUUUCAGAGACUUAAAUUUUUUUUUAAUGCAUUUAUUAUGCUAUGUGCCAAUCAGUAUGAACUUCAAGUUUGCGUAUAAAUAAAGUUUAUUACACAGCAGACGAGAAAAGAUAAA